UACGUAGGAGGCAAGCGUUGUCCGGAAUUACUGGGCGUAAAGCGCGUGUAGGUGGUGGGACAAGUCUGCUGUGAAAGCGCCUGGCUUAACCGGGCGAGGUCGGCGGAAACUGUCCGACUCGAGGACGGUAGAGGGGGGUGGAAUUCCCCGGUGUAGUGGUGAAAUGCGUAGAGAUCGGGAGGAACACCUGUGGCGAAGGGCGGCCCCCUGGGCCGGCCCUGACACUGAGACGCGGAAGGCGUGGGGGAGCGAACGGG
rnacentral:rRNA from 1 species